rnacentral:rRNA from 1 species
AGAUUUUGUUACUUUGAGUAAAUUAGAGUGUUCAAAGCAAACAGUUAAAGCAUUUUACUGCGUUUGAAUACUACAGCAUGGAAUAACAAAAUUGAACAAGUCAAAACUCUGUUCCUUUUUCUUAUUUUGGCUUAGUUACGAUUAAUAGGAGUAGCUUGGGGGCAUUUGUAUUCAGAUGUCAGAGGUGAAAUUCUUAGAUUUUCUGGAGACAAACAACUGCGAAAGCAUUUGCCUAAAAUACUUCCAUUAAUCAAGAACGAAAGUUAAGGGAGUGAAGACGAUCAGAUACCGUCGUAAUCUUAACCAUAAACUAUGCCGACUAGGUUUUGGAUGAAAGAUUUUUAAAUAAGAAAAUUCCUUUUGGAAAUUUCUUAGAUUGCUUCCUUCAGUACCUUAUGAGAAAUCAAAGUCUUUGGGUUCUGGGGCGAGUAUUCGCGCAAGCGAGAAAGUUAAAAGAAUUGACGGAAGGGCACCACCAGGCGUGGAGCUUGCGGCUUAAUUUGACUCAACACGGGGAAACUCACUAGUUUAAGA